GAUGAACGCUGGCGGCGUGCCUAAUACAUGCAAGUCGAGCGAACAGACGAGGAGCUUGCUCCUCUGACGUUAGCGGCGGACGGGUGAGUAACACGUGGAUAACCUACCUAUAAGACUGGGAUAACUUCGGGAAACCGGAGCUAAUACCGGAUAAUAUAUUGAACCGCAUGGUUCAAUAGUGAAAGACGGUUUUGCUGUCACUUAUAGAUGGAUCCGCGCCGCAUUAGCUAGUUGGUAAGGUAACGGCUUACCAAGGCAACGAUGCGUAGCCGACCUGAGAGGGUGAACGGCCACACGGGAACGGAGACACGGUCCAGACUCCUACGGGAGGCAGCAGUAGGGAAUCUUCCGCAAUGGGCGAAAGCCUGACGGAGCAACGCCGCGUGAGGGAUGAAGGUCUUCGGAUCGUAAAACUCUGUUAUUAGGGAAGAACAAAUGUGUAAGUAACUAUGCACGUCUUGACGGUACCUAAUCAGAAAGCCAGGGCUAGCUACGUG
rnacentral:rRNA from 1 species